GACGAACGCUGGCGGCGUGCCUAAUACAUGCAAGUUGAGCGCUGAAGGUUGGUACUUGUACCAACUGGAUGAGCAGCGAACGGGUGAGUAACGCGUGGGGAAUCUGCCUUUUAGCGGGGGACAACAUUUGGAAACGAAUGCUAAUACCGCAUAAAAACUUUAAACACAAGUUUUAAGUUUGAAAGAUGCAAUUGCAUCACUCAAAGAUGAUCCCGCGUUGUAUUAGCUAGUUGGUGAGGUAAAGGCUCACCAAGGCGAUGAUACAUAGCCGACCUGAGAGGGUGAUCGGCCACAUUGGGACUGAGACACGGCCCAAACUCCUACGGGAGGCAGCAGUAGGGAAUCUUCGGAAAUGGACGAAAGUCUGACCGAGCAACGCCGCGGGAGUGAAGAAGGGUUUCGGAUCGUAAAACUCUGUUGGUAGAGAAGAAUGUUGGUGAGAGUGGAAAGCUCAUCAAGUGACGGUAACUACACAGAAAGGGACGGCUAACUACGUG
rnacentral:rRNA from 1 species